UCGGGGGGUCUUCCCGGCUCCCAGCACCCCCAAGAAGAUGGCUGCCGAUAAAUCUCGCGAGAAUUGUUGAAGUGUCGCGGUGACUCCCGGAGCCUGCUGGGAAGAGACGUAAGAUCAGUGGAGAGCGCGCUAGGCAAGGAGGGAAAGGCCGCUGAUUUCAGGAUCAGCGGGAACCCCAGCCCGUCCUCUGUAACAGACGGCGUGGCGCAUCGGCUGGAACGACCCUGCGACGGGAGCGCUCCUCUGAGAGCGUCCACUCGGAUGUGGCGGGAUGCAGGCGACCUGGGGAUUACAGAAGUGAAUCAAGAGCUGGACUUCCUUGGUGGCGCAGUGGUUAAGAAUCCACCAGCCAAUGCAGGGGACACGGGUUUGAGCCCUGGUCGGGGAAGAUCCCACAUGCCGCAGAGCAGCUAAGCCCGUGCACCACAACUACUGAGCCUGCGCUCUAGAGCCUGUGAACCACAACUACCGAGCCCACGUGCCGCAGCUACUGAAGCCUGCGUGCCUAGAGCCCGUGCUCAGCAACGAGAAGCAUGCACACCGCAACGAAGAGUAGCCCCUGCUCGCCGCAACUGGAGAAAGCCCGCACGCAGCAAAGAAGACCCAACGCAGCCAAAAAAUACAUAAAUAAAUUUAUUUUUUUUAAAAAAAGUGAAUCAAGAGCAUGUUAAUAAAGGGAAUACAGUUUUCUCAUCUGAGACUAGGCACUGAUGACUUGGAAAGAAAAAUAAUGCUUGCUGUGGUAAGGUAUAUCCUUAGGUAAUUUAAGAGGAAACACUUCAGCAAUUGCUGAUAGUGUAAAUUGGGAUCAGAGGACAUUCUAUCAUUUCCCCCUUGAUAAAUUCAGAGCACUUCUAGUAAAAAAAGAGUUUGUGGGACAAUCACCAGUUCUUCAGUGGGCACUCCAUUUAUACCUAUAAUUGCUUAUAAUGACUCCGUAUGGCAGUACUUUUAUAGAAGGGACCCAAAACAGUAUAGAGUAAGAAGACUAGGCGUUGUGCUAUUAAUACCCUGAGCUCUUAUUCCACAUAAGGAGAGGAAAAGUACUAAAAAAAAAAAAAAAAAAUGCUGUCCAAUAAAAGUAUAGUGUGAGCCACAUAUGUAAUUUUAACUUUUCUAGUGGCUACUUUUUCAAAAAGUAAAAAAAAGUGAAAUUAAUUUUAAUGAUA